CCGGCGAUUUCCGAAUGGGGAAACCCAGUGUGUUUCGACACACUAUCAUUAACUGAAUCCAUAGGUUAAUGAGGCGAACCGGGGGAACUGAAACAUCUAAGUACCCCGAGGAAAAGAAAUCAACCGAGAUUCCCCCAGUAGCGGCGAGCGAACGGGGAGGAGCCCAGAGCCUGAAUCAGUGUGUGUGUUAGUGGAAGCGUCUGGAAAGGCGCGCGAUACAGGGUGACAGCC
rnacentral:rRNA from 1 species